rnacentral:miRNA from 1 species
UUGGUGGAACGGAGUC